GGUUGGGCCUCGCGCAACGGUAAUCCGUGAACCCCGCCAGAUCCGGAAGGAAGCAACGGUAAGCGGCCGUCCCGUGUGCCGCGAGCCACCUGGUCCUC
rnacentral:SRP_RNA from 1 species